CGGCGAGCGAACGGGGAGCAGCCCAGAGCCUGAAUCAGUGUGUGUGUUAGUGGAAGCGUCUGGAAAGGCGUGCGAUACAGGGUGACAGCCCCGUACACAAAAAUGCACAUACUGUGAGCUCGAUGAGUAGGGCGGGACACGUGGUAUCCUGUCUGAAUAUGGGGGGACCAUCCUCCAAGGCUAAAUACUCCUGACUGACCGAUAGUGAACCAGUACCGUGAGGGAAAGGCGAAAAGAACCCCGGCGAGGGGAGUGAAAAAGAACCUGAAACCGUGUACGUACAAGCAGUGGGAGCACGCUUAGGCGUGUGACUGCGUACCUUUUGUAUAAUGGGUCAGCGACUUAUAUUCUGUAGCAAGGUUAACCGAAUAGGGGAGCCGAAGGGAAACCGAGUCUUAACUGGGCGUUAAGUUGCAGGGUAUAGACCCGAAACCCGGUGAUCUAGCCAUGGGCAGGUUGAAGGUUGGGUAACACUAACUGGAGGACCGAACCGACUAAUGUUGAAAAAUUAGCGGAUGACUUGUGGCUGGGGGUGAAAGGCCAAUCAAACCGGGAGAUAGCUGGUUCUCCCCGAAAGCUAUUUAGGUAGCGCCUCGUGAAUUCAUCUCCGGGGGUAGAGCACUGUUUCGGCAAGGGGGUCAUCCCGACUUACCAACCCGAUGCAAACUGCGAAUACCGGAGAAUGUUAUCACGGGAGACACACGGCGGGUGCUAACGUCCGUCGUGAAGAGGGAAACAACCCAGACCGCCAGCUAAGGUCCCAAAGUCAUGGUUAAGUGGGAAACGAUGUGGGAAGGCCCAGACAGCCAGGAUGUUGGCUUAGAAGCAGCCAUCAUUUAAAGAAAGCGUAAUAGCUCACUGGUCGAGUCGGCCUGCGCGGAAGAUGUAACGGGGCUAAACCAUGCACCGAAGCUGCGGCAGCGACGCUUAUGCGUUGUUGGGUAGGGGAGCGUUCUGUAAGCCUGUGAAGGUGUGCUGUGAGGUAUGCUGGAGGUAUCAGAAGUGCGAAUGCUGACAUAAGUAACGAUAAAGCGGGUGAAAAGCCCGCUCGCCGGAAGACCAAGGGUUCCUGUCCAACGUUAAUCGGGGCAGGGUGAGUCGACCCCUAAGGCGAGGCCGAAAGGCGUAGUCGAUGGGAAACAGGUUAAUAUUCCUGUACUUGGUGUUACUGCGAAGGGGGGACGGAGAAGGCUAUGUUGGCCGGGCGACGGUUGUCCCGGUUUAAGCGUGUAGGCUGGUUUUCCAGGCAAAUCCGGAAAAUCAAGGCCGAGGCGUGAUGACGAGGCACUACGGUGCUGA
rnacentral:rRNA from 1 species